rnacentral:rRNA from 1 species
AUUGAACGCUGGCGGCAGGCCUAACACAUGCAAGUCGAACGGCAGCACAGAAGAGCUUGCUCUUUGGGUGGCGAGUGGCGGACGGGUGAGUAACGUCUGGGAAACUGCCCGAUGGAGGGGGAUAACUACUGGAAACGGUAGCUAAUACCGCAUAACGUCGCAAGACCAAAGUGGGGGACCUUCGGGCCUCACACCAUCGGAUGUGCCCAGAUGGGAUUAGCUAGUAGGUGGGGUAAUGGCUCACCUAGGCGACGAUCCCUAGCUGGUCUGAGAGGAUGACCAGCCACACUGGAACUGAGACACGGUCCAGACUCCUACGGGAGGCAGCAGUGGGGAAUAUUGCACAAUGGGCGCAAGCCUGAUGCAGCCAUGCCGCGUGUAUGAAGAAGGCCUUCGGGUUGUAAAGUACUUUCAGCGGGGAGGAAGGCGGUGAGGUUAAUAACCUUGCCGAUUGACGUUACCCGCAGAAGAAGCACCGGCUAAAGACGUACCAGCAGCCGCGGUAAAAC